AUCAUGCCGCGUGAGUGAAGAAGGCCUUCGGGUUGUAAAGCUCUUUUGUCAGGAAGAAACACCGGCUCUAACACAGUCCGGGAAUGACGGUACCUGAAGAAUAAGCACCGGCUAACUACGUGCCAGCAGCCGCGGUAAUACGUAGGGUGCGAGCGUUAAUCGGAAUUACUGGGCGUAAAGCGUGCGCAGGCGGUUAUACAAGACAGGCGUGAAAUCCCCGGGCUUAACCUGGGAAUGGCGCCUGUGACUGUAUGGCUAGAGUGUGUCAGAGGGGGGUAGAAUUCCACGUGUAGCAGUGAAAUGCGUAGAU
rnacentral:rRNA from 1 species